UCAAAGAUUACAACGCCGGUUCACGCAACCUAUGGAAGCUUUUCUUGUGCUAAAAAGAUGCAUUGUAUGCAUGUUGAAAUCAACACAACGAAAAAACUAGGACGCAACAAGAACAAAUACACACCUCUGCGUCUCGCAACUAUCCUUAUAAGAAAGCACGCCAUUAGAAGAACACCAAAGGAAGCAAGAGAAGAUGCAUUGUCAUUUAUACCACGGUGUACACUGUAUUUUAUCACAGAUAGAUUUAUUGUCUUCUGUGGUCUUCAAUGCACCCAAAAAACACUCGUACAUUUAAACCCUCCCAUGUUGGGUGCCUUGUUUAGAACUACAUGCUUGCUAUCGCAAAGGGGCUAAGAAAACAUGUGUUCCUGGGAAACAUCCAUAAAGUGGCUUGUAACGAACCCGUAAUCAGUGUGUCUUAUUUCAUAUGACCACUAUGUUGCACAAAUCACUGGCUUUUGCUUUCUUGCUGAAUGAGUUUGCAACAACGAAGAAUUUCUAAUUUGUUCACAGUAUGUAUGGAAAAAAUUAGUUUCCUCAAUCUUUUACCUGUCAGCAUCAAAGUAGAAUGUGAUAUUCUUGUGUGCCUUAAAAUAAACUGAUAUUCAUAACUCUGUU